GUAGGGCGGGACACGUGGUAUCCUGUCUGAAUAUGGGGGGACCAUCCUCCAAGGCUAAAUACUCCUGACUGACCGAUAGUGAACCAGUACCGUGAGGGAAAGGCGAAAAGAACCCCGGCGAGGGGAGUGAAAAAGAACCUGAAACCGUGUACGUACAAGCAGUGGGAGCCUCUUUAUGGGGUGACUGCGUACCUUUUGUAUAAUGGGUCAGCGACUUAUAUUCUGUAGCAAGGUUAACCGAAUAGGGGAGCCGAAGGGAAACCGAGUCUUAACUGGGCGUUAAGUUGCAGGGUAUAGACCCGAAACCCGGUGAUCUAGCCAUGGGCAGGUUGAAGGUUGGGUAACACUAACUGGAGGACCGAACCGACUAAUGUUGAAAAAUUAGCGGAUGACUUGUGGCUGGGGGUGAAAGGCCAAUCAAACCGGGAGAUAGCUGGUUCUCCCCGAAAGCUAUUUAGGUAGCGCCUCGUGAAUUCAUCUCCGGGGGUAGAGCACUGUUUCGGCAAGGGGGUCAUCCCGACUUACCAACCCGAUGCAAACUGCGAAUACCGGAGAAUGUUAUCACGGGAGACACACGGCGGGUGCUAACGUCCGUCGUGAAGAGGGAAACAACCCAGACCGCCAGCUAAGGUCCCAAAGUCAUGGUUAAGUGGGAAACGAUGUGGGAAGGCCCAGACAGCCAGGAUGUUGGCUUAGAAGCAGCCAUCAUUUAAAGAAAGCGUAAUAGCUCACUGGUCGAGUCGGCCUGCGCGGAAGAUGUAACGGGGCUAAACCAUGCACCGAAGCUGCGGCAGCGACGCUUAUGCGUUGUUGGGUAGGGGAGCGUUCUGUAAGCCUGUGAAGGUGUACUGUGAGGUAUGCUGGAGGUAUCAGAAGUGCGAAUGCUGACAUAAGUAACGAUAAAGCGGGUGAAAAGCCCGCUCGCCGGAAGACCAAGGGUUCCUGUCCAACGUUAAUCGGGGCAGGGUGAGUCGACCCCUAAGGCGAGGCCGAAAGGCGUAGUCGAUGGGAAACAGGUUAAUAUUCCUGUACUUGGUGUUACUGCGAAGGGGGGACGGAGAAGGCUAUGUUGGCCGGGCGACGGUUGUCCCGGUUUAAG
rnacentral:rRNA from 1 species